rnacentral:rRNA from 1 species
AUUGAACGCUGGCGGCAUGCCUUACACAUGCAAGUCGAACGGUAACAGGUCUUCGGAUGCUGACGAGUGGCGAACGGGUGAGUAAUACAUCGGAACGUGCCUAGUAGUGGGGGAUAACUACUCGAAAGAGUGGCUAAUACCGCAUGAGAUCUACGGAUGAAAGCAGGGGAUCGCAAGACCUUGUGCUACUAGAGCGGCCGAUGGCAGCUUAGGUAGUUGGUGGGAUAAAAGCUUACCAAGCCGACGAUCUGUAGCUGGUCUGAGAGGACGAUAAGCCAAACUGGGACUGGGACACGGCCCAGAAUCCUACGGGAGGCAGCAGUGGGGAAGUUUGGAGAAUGGGCGCAAGCCUGAUCCAGCAAUGCCGCGUGCAGGAUGAAGGCCUUCGGGUUGUAAACUGCUUUUGUACGGAACGAAAAGCCCCGGGUUAAUACCCUGGGGUCAUGACGGUACCGUAAGAAUAAGCACCGGCUAACUACGUGCCAGCAGCCGCCGUAA